rnacentral:sRNA from 1 species
UAAGGUUCGACUCGAGCGAAGCGAGAGAACGUUGCCGCAGGCAACGGCCCGAAGGGCGAGGCGCUUUAGCGCCGAGUAAUCCUUCCCCCACCACCA